CGAGCAUUGAUAACGCGACAACAGGGACAAAGAGAUCCUGUUGGCGGCCUCGGUGGGAAAACCCGUACGAUGGCUCUGGGAAGCGCCGGCCGUGGGCGUCGGUUAUCUCGUUCUCAGUUGACCGUAAAGUACGCUCCGUGAGGACGUUUUGCGGGCACACAGCGAAAAGAACUGGUCGCUUCUCUGCACAGGAAAUCGAGCCCAUGGACGAGAUAGACAGUGGGGAGAGCGCACUGUUUGAGCGUCCUCGCAACGCUGUGCUUCUGGGCUGCUCUGCGGCGUCGAUGUUGGCCACGGCGACUGGCCUGUUCGCCGCUAUUUUCCUGCACCCGGCGUUGGUGUUGGUGCUCGUUUUCGGCAACGCGACGAGCGUGGCGUUGGCGAUGCGCUUCGGCUACCGGGCCUACGAGCCGCCGACGAACAAUGCCAAGGCUUCCGCCUGCAAGACGGUCGUGCCGGUCAUUCAGAUACAUCCGCCUAAUAUGACCACCGAACUGUAGGGCACCAUUCGGCUUCAACAGUGCCUAUGAACGUGCAUGGAGUUCGAGCCCAGCUUUCGGACUCCGCUGAGAACACAGUGUGCUCACUUUCCGAUUACGUGAUCAUCGAGAGUGCGAAAUGGUCGCGUGAACUUUCGUGCCCUGCAAUCGACGCCGUGUAUACACGUUGGCUGAGACACACGUGUCGCCGCUUCGAUUUUAUUUGUGCCGGAGAAUAGUUUGCAUGAUAAACUUCAUUCGCGUUCCUACAAAACGUCACAGUCUACGACGGCAUCGUCAAGGAAAGCACAGGUGAAAGCCUAUGUGCUUUCACGGGGCACUCAUUAAAUUGCUUCGACUUUCCCA